rnacentral:rRNA from 1 species
ACAUCCAGAGAAUUUAGCAGAGAUGCUUUAGUGCCUUCGGGAACUCUGAGACAGGUGCUGCAUGGCUGUCGUCAGCUCGUGUUGUGAAAUGUUGGGUUAAGUCCCGNAACGAGCGCAACCUUAUCCUUUGUUGCCAGCACGUAAUGGUGGGAACUCAAAGGAGACUGCCGGUGAUAAACCGGAGGAAGGUGGGAUGACGUCAAGUCAUCAUGGCCCUUACGAGUAGGGCUACACACGUGCUACAAUGGCGCAUACAAAGAGAAGCGACCUCGCGAGAGCAAGCGGACCUCAUAAAGUGCGUCGUAGUCCGGAUUGGAGUCUGCAACUCGACUCCAUGAAGUCGGAAUCGCUAGUAAUCGUAAAUCAGAAUGUUACGGUGAAUACGUUCCCGGGCCUUGUACACACCGCCCGUCACACCAUGGGAGUGGGUUGCAAAAGAAGUAGAUAGCUUAACCUUCGGGAGGGCGUUUACCACUUUGUGAUUCAUGACUGGGGUGAAGUCGUAACAAGGUAGGCGUAGUGCU